rnacentral:rRNA from 1 species
AGAACGAACGCUGGCGGCAUGCCUAACACAUGCAAGUCGAACGUGAUCCAUGACUUCGGUUGUGGUGAAAGUGGCAAACGGGUGAGUAACGCGUGGGAAUCUGCCCAGAGGUAGGGAAUAACCGCGGGAAACUGCGGCUAAUACCCUAUGUGCCCUACGGGGCAAAGAUUUAUCGCCUUUGGAGGAGCCCGCGUCGGAUUAGGUAGUUGGUAGGGUAACGGCCUACCAAGCCUACGAUCCGUAGCUGGUCUGAGAGGAUGAUCAGCCACACUGGGACUGAGAUACGGCCCAGACUCCUACGGGAGGCAGCAGUGGGAAUAUUGGACAAUGGGGGCAACCCUGAUCCAGCAAUGCCGCGUGAGUGAUGAAGGCCUUCGGGUUGUAAAGCUCGUUUCGGCGGGAAGAUGAUGACGGUACCGCAGAAGAAGCCCCGGCUAACUUCGUGCCAGCAGCCGC